GAUGAACGCUAGCGGCAGGCUUAACACAUGCAAGUCGAGGGGUAUAGAGAGCUUGCUUUCUAGAGACCGGCGCACGGGUGCGUAACGCGUAUGCAAUCUACCUUUCACAGAGGGAUAGCCCAGAGAAAUUUGGAUUAAUACCUCAUAGUAUUAUAGAAUGGCAUCAUUUUAUAAUUAAAGAUUUAUCGGUGAAAGAUGAGCAUGCGUCCCAUUAGUUAGUUGGUAAGGUAACGGCUUACCAAGACUACGAUGGGUAGGGGUCCUGAGAGGGAGAUCCCCCACACUGGUACUGAGACACGGACCAGACUCCUACGGGAGGCAGCAGUGAGGAAUAUUGGACAAUGGGCGCAAGCCUGAUCCAGCCAUGCCGCGUGCAGGAUGACGGUCCUAUGGUAUUGUAAACUGCUUUUAUACAGGAAGAAACCCUCGACGUGUCGGAGCUUGACGGUACUGUAAGAAUAAGGAUCGGCUAACUCCGUGCCAGC
rnacentral:rRNA from 1 species